CCUAUGGGGGGCAGCAGGCGCGAAACCUUUACAAUGCACGAAAGUGUGAUAGGGGGAUACUCAGUGCUUACGGUUAUGCUGUAGGCUUUUGUCGAUCGUAAAUAGAUCGGCGAAUAAGUGGUGGGUAAGACUGGUGCCAGCCGCCGCGGUAACCCCAGCGCCACAAGUGGUCAUCGCGAUUAUUGGGCCUAAAGCGUUCGUAGCCGGUUUGGUGCAUCUCUUGUGAAAUUGUUCGGCUUAACCGAACAGCGUGCAGGAGACACGGCCAGACUCGAGACCGGGAGGCGUAUGAAGUAUUCCAUGGGGACUGGUAAAAUGGGAUAAUCCAUGGAAGACUACCGAUGGCGAAGGCAUCAUACGAGAACGGAUCUGACGGUGAGGAACGAAAGCUAGGGGAGCGAACCGGAUUAGAUACCCCCGUAGUCC
rnacentral:rRNA from 1 species